GACGAACGCUGGCGGCGUGCUUAACACAUGCAAGUCGAACGGAAAGGCCCUGCUUUUGUGGGGUGCUCGAGUGGCGAACGGGUGAGUAACACGUGAGUAACCUGCCCUUGACUUUGGGAUAACUUCUGGAAACUGGGGCUAAUACCGGAUAGGAUCUCCUGCUGCAUGGUGGGGGUGGGAAAGUUUCGGCGGUUGGGGAUGGACUCGGGGCUUAUCAGCUUGUUGGUGGGGUAGUGGCUUACCAAGGCUUGGACGGGUAGCCGGCCUGAGAGGGUGACCGGCCACAUGGGGACUGAGAUAGGGACCAGACGGCUACGGGGGGCAGCAGUGGGGAAUAUUGCACAAUGGGCGGAAGCCUGAUGCAGCAACGCCGCGUGCGGGAUGACGGUCUUCGGGUUGUAAACCGCUUUCGCCUGUGACGAAGAGUGAGUGACGGUAAUGGGUAAAGAAGCACCGGCUAACUACGUG
rnacentral:rRNA from 1 species